GGGGGCGGCGGUGGGGAGGCCCGGUGACAAGGGGCGCCGGACGGGGGCUCGCGUCGCUUUUUUGGGGCAAAUCCCGCCUCAUUCGGGAAGGAUGGAGCUGGUGUGCCGCACCACUUGGGUUGACCUGGUGUCUCCCCUGUGGCCACCCGCGGUUGACCUGAUGUCCCGUGUUGAUCUGGUGUGUCCCCGCUUUGGUUGACCUGUUGUCUAGGCUGUGCCUGGGUUGACCUAGUGGCCAAGUUCAUAUUGGGCGACCUGGUGGCCAGUCUGUCUGGGUUGACCUGAUGACUGGUGUCCACCUCGGUUGACCUGGUGGCCAAGUCCCCCCCCCCCACCACCUCCUUGGGCGACCCGGUGGCCAGUGUCCACCUUGGGGGACCUGGUGACCAACGUCCCCCCCGGUUUGACCUGGUGGCCACGGUCCAUCUGGGGGCUGAUCUGGUGGCCAGUGUCUCCUUUAGGUGACCUGGUGUCCGAGGUCCACCUGGUUUGACCUAAUGUCCACCUGCGUUGACUUGGUGACCAAGGUCCACCUCGGGUGACCCGGUGUCCACCUCGGGUGACGGGUCCCCGUGUGACCUGGCGUCCACCUCCAUCCCUCCCCCACCCCACGAUGAGCCCUCCCCACCCCCCGUGCGCCUGUCCCCGGGGCCGGGCCAACUCGUGACAGGGGCCGGCUUCAUCCCCGGGGAGCUGUGGGAGCCGCGGGCUGAGGAAACAUCUGCUUCCACCUCCGCAAGGCCCCGGCGAGCCACCGGUGGGGGGGGGGGGCUGGKCUCUGCUCCGCCGGGCGUCUGUCCGUCCCUCCCGGGGCUCUUUCUGUCCGUGCGUGCAACCAUCCAUCCGUCCUUUCCACGUGUGCAACCAUCCAUCCGUCCUCCUCUCCGUGCAACCAUCCAUCCGUCCUUCCUAUGUGUGCAACCAUCCAUCCGUCCUCCUCUCCGUGCAACCAUCCAUCCGUCCUUCCCAUGCGUGCAACCAUCCAUCCGUCCUUUCCAUACACCCAUCCACCCAUCCCUCCAUCUCCCCACGCAUCCUCGCACCCAUCCACCCCUUCUCCUUCCCUUGCGUCCGUCCCUUCUCGCCCCGUCCUCCUGGCGUGCUGGUGCUGGCGGUGGUGGCGGUGGUGGUGGCCUCAGCUUCGGUGGAGGUGGACCACCUGGCCUUGGAGGC
rnacentral:lncRNA from 1 species